rnacentral:rRNA from 1 species
GAAAGUCUGACCGAGCAACGCCGCGUGAGUGAAGAAGGUUUUCGGAUCGUAAAGCUCUGUUGUAAGUCAAGAACGUGUGUGAGAGUGGAAAGUUCACACAGUGACGGUAGCUUACCAGAAAGGGACGGCUAACUACGUGCCAGCAGCCGCGGUAAUACGUAGGUCCCGAGCGUUGUCCGGAUUUAUUGGGCGUAAAGGGAGCGCAGGCGGUCAGGAAAGUCUGGAGUAAAAGGCUAUGGCUCAACCAUAGUGUGCUCUGGAAACUGUCUGACUUGAGUGCAGAAGGGGAGAGUGGAAUUCCAUGUGUAGCGGUGAAAUGCGUAGAUAUAUGGAGGAACACCAGUGGCGAAAGCGGCUCUCUGGUCUGUCACUGACGCUGAGGCUCGAAAGCGUGGGUAGCGAACAGGAUUAGAUACCCUGGUAGUCCACGCCGUGAACGAUGAGUGCUAGGUGUUAGGCCCUUUCCGGGGCUUAUUGCCGGAGCUAACGCAAUAAGCACUCCGCCUGGGGAGUACGACCGCAAGGUUGAAACUCAAAGGAAUUGACGGGGGCCCGCACAAGCGGUGGA